UACGGGGUGCAGCAGGCGCGAAAACUUUACAAUGCCGGCAACGGCGAUAAGGGGACCUCGAGUGCCAGGUUACAAAUCUGGCUGUCGUGAUGCCUAAAAAGCAUUGCAUAGCAAGGGCCGGGCAAGACCGGUGCCAGCCGCCGCGGUAAUACCGGCGGCUCGAGUGGUGGCCACUAUUACUGGGCUUAAAGCGUCCGUAGCUGGAUUGUUAAGUCUCUUGGGAAAUCCACCGGCUCAACCGAUGGGCGUUCAGGAGAAACUGACAAUCUAGGGACCGGGAGAGGUGAGAGGUACUCCAGGGGUAGGAGUGAAAUCCUGUAAUCCUUGGGGGACCACCUGUGGCGAAGGCGUCUCACUAGAACGGCUCCGACAGUGAGGGACGAAAGCUGGGGGAGCAAACCGGAUUAGAUACCCGGGUAGUCCCAGCUGUAAACGAUGCGCGUUAGGUGUAUCGGUGACCACGAGUCAUCGAGGUGCCGAAGGGAAACCGUGAAACGUG
rnacentral:rRNA from 1 species